CAUAAAUGGAAGACGGAACACUUAGCUCUAGAAUGGUUUAGAAGAUCUUUUCUAUGCUCUGGCUUGAAUAGUCUACAUUUUAUGCAGUUUGUUGUCAUAUAUUCAUUAGGAACUGCAUAUUUAGCGGCUCUCACGCCAAAGUAUCAGGGUGUCUAUCACUCAUUUGCUAAUUAUAUUUAGUUUCGAUUUGGCUUCUUGAAAAAUUUACAGAAAUAGUUUAUUCGAUGAAGACAUUCAUUUUUGCCAAAUUUCAUGUGUGUUGCAUCCACCCCCACCCCCCCACCCCCCCUUUCUUUUUUGAAUGGAGAUGGAUUAUUUUAUCUUCUUUGAAUACCUAAGCUGAGCUGCCUUGAGUUUCUCUUUAUUAUCUUGAUUGGAGGUUAAAUCUAUCACUUGCAUAAAUUUUAGAUAUUUCUUGCAUUUUGCUGUCGCUCAUGCUAGCAGGUGACGAAAUCAUAGAAACCAGAACUGACUUUUUCAUAGUGUGGAACCUCGGAAAUUUGGACGAUUACAGAGUAAAACAGGGAUAUGUCAUUUAGCCAGAAGGUCCUCUACUUAACGACUUUGCAAAGAUGCUUGCGGUCUCCAUGGUUAACCCAAACUUAUUCUUUCUCAGACAUUGUUCACAAGAAAACAAAGCUUGCUCCUCUACAGGAAAGGAGAAUGAUAGAUCGCUUUCGCAUAUGGGCCAAAGGAGGUGAUGGUGGCAGCGGUUGUACCAGUAUUCGUCGUAGUCGACAUGAUCGCCGUGGCACACCUGACGGUGGGAAUGGUGGAAGGGGUGGUGACGUGAUAUUAGAAUGUUCCCCUGCAGUCUGGGAUUUGAGUGGUCUGCAGCAUCACACAAAUGCAAAGAGAGGCGGAAAUGGGUCUUCCAAAAAUAUGAUAGGAAGUAGAGGAGCUGACAAGGUGAUCCAAGUUCCUGUAGGUACUGUAAUUCAUCUAGUAGAGGGCGAACUUCCAUCUGCAGUUGAGAAGAGUUCAAGUUCUGAGUUGGACCCUUGGGAGCUUCCAGGUACAGUUGAUAUUGAUUCGUCAGAGUUUUCUACACAAUCAGUUUCGGCGUACCAAACAAGUUCAAAGGUUGAGAAGAGAGCCAAAUCAAGUGGACGUCGAGCUUCUGGUGGUGAAGAAUCCACUACAGCAAAGAGAAGAAAUUGUGCUUUGCCAAUCAAUUCUCGCACGAAACAUUCACUUUCUAGAGGCAAAUUCGAAAGUGAUGAUGAUGAUUUGAGCAAUUGGGAGGAAGAAAGCUGUGGACAAAUGGAAGAUCAAGAUGGUGAUGAUGCUAUGGGAGCAGAAUGUGAAGAUGAGUUGGAAGAAACUGAACAUAUAGAAUAUGAUGUGGCAGAGUUAACAGAACAAGGCCAACGAAUAGUUGUUGCUCGUGGAGGGGAGGGUGGCUUAGGAAAUCUGUCUAAGGGGAAAGCAUCAAAGAUGAUGCAAAAGGGAGCCAGUUCUGAUGAUGAAGUAUCUGAUGAUUAUGAUCAUGCAUCACUAAGUGCUGGCUUGCCUGGCUCUGAGGCGGUCCUUGUGCUAGAACUAAAGAGCAUUGCUGAUAUAGGUCUUAUUGGGAUGCCAAAUGCCGGCAAAAGUACCCUCCUUGGAGCAUUAUCAAAGGCUAAACCUACUGUAGGUGAUUAUGCGUUCACAACGUUGAGGCCGAACUUAGGCAACUUAAAUUAUUACGAUUUUUCUUUAACUGUAGCUGACAUCCCGGGACUCAUAAGAGGAGCCCAUGAAAAUCGUGGGCUUGGGCAUGCUUUCCUUCGGCACAUAGAACGAACAAAAGUUCUAGCAUACGUGGUAGACUUGGCUGCAGGAUUGGGCGAUAACAAGGGAAUACCACCAUGGGAGCAGCUAAAUGACUUGGUUUUGGAACUCGAGUACUAUCGAGAGGGUUUGACCGAUCGACCAUCCUUAGUGGUGGCUAACAAAAUCGACGAAGAUGGGGCUGAAGAGGUCUAUAAAGAGCUGAAACACAGGGUGUCUGGUGUGCCCAUUUUCCCAAUUAGUGCAGUCCUAGAGGAAGGAGUACCAGAACUGAAAGAUGGUCUAAGGAUGCUUAUCAGUGGUGAACAAUCAAACAGACUACAACUAAAUGGUGUAGUUCUUCCUUUUGUGAGCAUCUAAGCUACAUCAUUAGGAUAUCUGCUUCAGUAUACUUUCCCUUGAAAAUGUAAUACCUUUGUUUUACCACAAUGCCAUAGCAAUUUUCUGCGGAGGAGAUUUCUCAAGGGAGUUGAAUCUAUCGAAAGACGGUUUCUUAUAGGUAAGCAAUGGAGUCAUACUUAUUAACGUUCAAAUUAUAUAGUUGAAACUUUCGAAAGGUGGUUUCUUAUGGUAAGCAAUAACACUUCAUAACGUUUAAAUUAUAUGUAAAUAACUUAAUAUUA